GCCUUCAAAUAAGACCACAGUACACAACCACUGAGUAGUCUGUUAAUCCUCUAAAUAUUUCUUCGUAUUAGUAUUGCCUCUUUUUCAAGUAUGAGCACAGUACCCAACCAU